GAUGAACGCUGGCGGCGUGCCUAAUACAUGCAAGUCGAGCGAACAGACGAGGAGCUUGCUCCUCUGACGUUAGCGGCGGACGGGUGAGUAACACGUGGAUAACCUACCUAUAAGACUGGGAUAACUUCGGGAAACCGGAGCUAAUACCGGAUAAUAUAUUGAACCGCAUGGUUAAAUAGUGAAAGACGGUUUUGCUGUCACUUAUAGAUGGAUCCGCGCCGCAUUAGCUAGUUGGUAAGGUAACGGCUUACCAAGGCGACGAUGCGUAGCCGACCUGAGAGGGUGAUCGGCCACACUGGAACUGAGACACGGGCCAGACUCCUACGGGAGGCAGCAGUAGGGAAUCUUCCGCAAGGGGCGAAAGCCUCGGAGCAACGCCGCGUGAGUGAUGAAGGUCUUCGGAUCGUAAAACUCUGUUAUUAGGGAAGAACAAAUGUGUAAGUAACUAUGCACGUCUUGACGGUACCUAAUCAGAAAGCCACGGCUAACUACGUG
rnacentral:rRNA from 1 species